CAUCCGGUAUCCCAAGACAUCUUCGGGUGGGUUGGGAAGUAUCAUGGCUAAUCACCAUGAUGCAAUCGGGUUGAACACUUAAUUGGGUUAAAACGGUGGGGGACGAUCCCGUAACAUCCGUCCUAACGGCGA
rnacentral:ribozyme from 1 species